GACGAACGCUGGCGGCGCGCCUAACACAUGCAAGUCGAACGAGCGAGAGAGAGCUUGCUUUCUCGAGCGAGUGGCGAACGGGUGAGUAACGCGUGAGGAACCUGCCUCAAAGAGGGGGACAACAGUUGGAAACGACUGCUAAUACCGCAUAAGCCCACGGCUCGGCAUCGAGCAGGGGGAAAAGGAGCAAUCCGCUUUGAGAUGGCCUCGCGUCCGAUUAGCUAGUUGGUGAGGUGACGGCCCACCAAGGCGACGAUCGGUAGCCGGACUGAGAGGUUGAACGGCCACAUUGGGACUGAGACACGGCCCAGACUACUACGGGAGGCAGCAGUGGGGAAUAUUGCACAAUGGGGGAAACCCUGAUGCAGCGACGCCGCGGGGAGGAAGAAGGUCUUCGGAUUGUAAACUCCUGUUGUUGGGGAAGAUAAUGACGGUACCCAACAAGGAGGUGACGGCUAACUACGU
rnacentral:rRNA from 1 species